rnacentral:rRNA from 1 species
AUGGCCACCAAGGCCCCGAGCUGCUCCACCCGCUUCAGAUCUCCGGCCAGCGCCGUUUGGUUCCUGCCGGCCGCCGUCUUCAUCCUCCUCCUCCUCCUUCUGGGCCGCCCGACCAUGGACCCCUACGCUCCCGCCACCCCUCCUGGUCCCGUGUCUUCCCGGCGCGCCGAUCUGUACGGCAGGAUGGCGCGGGACCUUGACGAGCGCGGCGCGGCCUUCUUGAAGGGCGGCGAGACAUCGCAGUCCCUCACGCUCUCGGACCUCUUCGAGGUCAGGGACGGCGCCGUCGUGCCCAGGCUCAAGGCCGUCGACCCGCCGGUGCGUGCAAACGUGCUCUACCUGGACCCGGUGUUCGCCGCCGAGAUAGCGAAGGCUGUGAAGGAAGUAUUUCUUCCUUAUUUUGAUAAAGCUAUUUGGUUCCAAAAUUCGAGCAUGUACCACUUUAGUAUGUUUCAUGCCUCCCAUCAUCUGGAGCCAAUCUUAGCAACCAAGGAUGAGAUUGAAGCCGAAGUCGAUGCUGUAAAAGGAGUUACUGAGGCUGUUUGCCCCCUUAAAAUUUCUUUGGAUCGAGUGGUCUUGACAUCAACUGGAGUUCUUCUUGGCUUGUGGCAGGUUGAAUCUGGUACUGAUCCUGCCGACAUCCGCUCAAAAUUGAGAGAAGCUCUCCCUCGAGCACCCCAAAAGCAGUUGUAUGAUCCUGUUCUCCUCCACACAUCCUUUGCGCGAAUUCUGGGACCUCCUAAGCUCCCACAACAGGAGGACACGUCAUCUUUCAGUCACAUCAAAUUCUUCCAUGACCUCGUUGCACAGGUUAAUGGGAAAAUCCGUGGCUUCCAGGCAAAGGUAUCAGAGUUGUGGUAUGUAGAAGAGUACGAUGUGCUAGCCCUAGCACUGAAUGGAAAGAUGAGAGUGCGGAGGCUCCACCUUGGCUGCAAUGAGGGCCAAGAUAACUGA